GUGCAGCAAGCGCGAAAACUUUACAAUGUGCGAAAGCACGAUAAGGGAACUCUGAGUGCCUCCUAAGGAGGCUGUUCUGAUGUCUAAAAAGCAACAGAAGUAAGGGCUGGGUAAGACCGGUGCCAGCCGCCGCGGUAACACCGGCAGCCCAAGUGGUAGCCACGUUUAUUGGGUCUAAAGCGUUCGUAGCCGGCCAGGUAAGUUCCUUGGUAAAUUUAGCCGCUUAACGGUUAAGCUUUCAGGGAAUACUGCUUGGCUUGGGACUGGGGAGAGGUCAGAGGUACUCCGGGGGUAGGGGUGAAAUCUAUUAAUCCCUGGGGGACCACCGGUAGCGAAGGCGUCUGACCAGACCAGGUCCGACGGUGAGGGACGAAGGCUAGGGGCGCGAACCGGAUUAGAUACCCGGGUAGU
rnacentral:rRNA from 1 species